UAUUUUUUUGCUGGUACCAAGGGCAAACACCUCAUCUCUCUCCACGAUGUUUACCUUGCACAACACAACCGUUCUCUUACGAUUGAAAGUUCUUUACCUCUCACAAUCGCACGCCCGCACGUACAUUUGUCGACCGUCGAGUUUCGCCAUUUGUCGUUGCUAUGCUACACCAUCACUGCUUCAUUCUCGCUCGGUAGGCUUGGACUGUUGCAUCAUUGCACCUGUGGGAACUCACAAAACCCUCUUUCUUGAAAGCCAUGAGGUUGUUGAAGAUGGAUAUUAUGAUCUUGCGCAAGUGCUGAUUGGAUAUGAGUAGUAGGCUUAUUCACUUGCAUAUUCACCUGGAUAUCGUUCAAAUUGGGAUUGACUUAGUUUUGUACUUUAGUUUCACUUUUAAGUAUUGUUGUGUAUAAAGUUAAAUUUUGAAUUGUAAGAACGCGUGUCGACUAUUGUUGUUAUUAUAAAUAGAAAUAUAUAUUUUUUGAUGUUAA